rnacentral:rRNA from 1 species
UACGAGUGCUCCAAGCGUUAUCCGGAAUUAUUGGGCGUAAAGGGUGUGUAGGCGGUUGUGUUAGUCUUUUUGUUAAAUUCUUCGGCUUAACCGGGGGCAUGCGAAAGAGACGGCACAACUAGAGGAUGCGAGAGGUGAAUGGAACUCAUGGAGUAGGGGGUGAAAAUCCGUUAUAUCAUGGGGGAACACCAAAAGCAAGG